AUCAGGAAGCCAAGCACGACGAACU
rnacentral:piRNA from 1 species